rnacentral:rRNA from 1 species
UACGGGGGGUGCGAGCGUUGUUCGGAAUCACUGGGCGUAAAGCGCGUGUAGGCGGCCCACUAAGUCUGAUGUGAAAGCCCGGGGCUCACCCCCGGAAGUGCAUUGGAAACUGGUGGACUCGAGUCCCGGAGAGGAGAGUGGAAUUCCUGGUGUAGCGGUGAAAUGCGUAGAUAUCUGGAGGAACACCGGUGGCGAAGGCGGCAUCCUGGACCGGUAUUGACGCUGAGGCGCGAAAGCCAGGGGAGCAAACGGG